UACGUAGGGUGCAAGCGUUAAUCGGAAUUACUGGGCGUAAAGCGUGCGCAGGCGGUUAUGUAAGACAGAUGUGAAAUCCCCGGGCUCAACCUGGGAACUGCAUUUGUGACUGCAUCGCUGGAGUGCGGCAGAGGGGGAUGGAAUUCCGCGUGUAGCAGUGAAAUGCGUAGAUAUGCGGAGGAACACCGAUGGCGAAGGCAAUCCCCUGGGCCUGCACUGACGCUCAUGCACGAAAGCGUGGGGAGCAAACAGG
rnacentral:rRNA from 1 species